UUCUUGUUUAAUUAAUAAUAAUAAUAUAUUUUGUUUUAUGUAGCAGUAGCACCUAUUUGUACACUUAUUUAGAUACUGAGCUAUGCGCAUAUUUUAUCACAAGUUUUAUACUUCAAGGAAAACAUGUUUUUCAGAUGCAAAUGCGUUGUUUGACACGCCCACAAUUUUGUCGAAUGAUAAGGUUUGUUUAUGUAAACAAAUAUCGUACGAUCUACCCUACCUACUUAAAAGUUGAAACUGUUCCAAGUGACACAAUGAUGAUCUGGUGAUGAUUUUCACAAUCACUGGUGUGCCAAUUAUGUAAUAAUAUUAUUGAAGGUCGUUUGCUGCUAGAGAUGUCGUUAGUCGUCACUUGAUGGAGGUUAUAACACAGAAUAGAGAGUAAUCGUACUCAAUGUCAAUUUAUACCGUUCAAAUAUCUGGCAGUGUGCUGUCAAAAAUUGAAAAACAACAGUGGCGGGAAUUCGAAUAAUCUAUUUUUUUUUACGGCGCGCGACCUUCUGGUAGUGUGGAACGCGCGUUAACGAAAAUUAUCUUUUUUUGAAAUUCAUACAGAUACCACGUAUCGAGCAAUAAGAAUGUGACUGUCUGUUGAAUCUCUUUGCCUAUGAAGGGAUCGAAAAAAAAACAAAGGAGUGUUGAAGCCGUCACAAUACGUAAACGAAUUAUGAAGACACAUUUGAUCACGGACUACGUGAAUACGGAUCUAAAACUGAUGAAAUUGCGAGCAAAAGCUGCUAAGCAGUCAUCCGAGUGCCACGUAAGCGUAAAUUAUGCGAACAAGGUCGCGAACGGGCGCUUAUAGCCCAACAGACCAGUAUGACUAAUGGCGUAAGUCUUGAGGAAAACGAAAUCUGGUUUCUCGCAACAUUAUCCUUAUUAUCUCUUUGAGUUGUAGGUAUCGUAUCUUGGCGUUCCCCAAACGGGCUAACGGGACCACAAAAUCUUAUCAAUACAUUUUGUAUGUGAUGUUUCUGCUUUUGUAAAACAAACAGUACAAAAUCAAAGUAAAACGUAGUUACAUAUAAGCGUAACUUUCUAUUAUUACUUUUAUUUAUUAGCGAGCAGAGCUUGCAAUCAUCAAAAUUGGAUAUUAUUAAGGGAUAGAAAAACGUUUUUGCUUUUCUGUUGAACGAGUGGUGUGUAAUAAUAAUAAAAAUAUAAUAUUGACACACUUUUACACAAAUUAUCUUCCCCCAAACUAGGCAUAGGCAUUCUCUAUGGGUACAAGACAAUUAUUAAAAUAUUUAAUACAAUAAAUGGACUUAAACAUACAUAAAUAAUCAUAAAAAUCUAUGACUCCGAAACACACAACCAUAUUCAUCAUAUUAAUAUUUGCACCUACCGGGAUUCGAACCUGGGGCCUCUAGCUUAGUAAGCAGGGUCACUAACCACUGGGCUUUAACAGUAGGCCACAUCCCAUUUAAGAGUAAAUUAAGUCAUUAAUCAUGAGUUAAAAAAAUAUUAACUGUAUAAUGUAACUGUUAUGCAACAGACGGACUUAUUUUAUGACGGAGAAUGGUUUUUAAUAUGGUUCAUAGCGGCCUUGCUUUUCGCAAAAUUUUAAAACUAAAAAAAAUAAAGCCUUAACUCCGAA